rnacentral:rRNA from 1 species
UACAGAGGGGGCAAGCGUUAUUCGGAAUUAUUGGGCGUAAAGGGCGCGUAGGCGGCUUUGCAAGUGACGGGUGAAAUCCUGGAGCUCAACUCCAGAACUGCCUUUGAUACUGAGAAGCUUGAGUCCGGGAGAGGUGAGUGGAACUGCGAGUGUAGAGGUGAAAUUCGUAGAUAUUCGCAAGAACACCAGUGGCGAAGGCGGCUCACUGGCCCGGUACUGACGCUGAGGUGCGAAAGCGUGGGGAGCAAACAGG